AAAACCAGAAAAGAAAUUCAGAUAAGUAUUUUCUGUCUAUGAAAAAUAGACUUAAGAGGAAUGGACACAAUACUUUGUGGUCUUUUUGACUUAUCUCUUGCAGGUGGUAUAAUUAGGUGAUAUAAUUAGUGUUAAACAGUUAUCUACUUCAACAUUAUGGAGAUGGAAAACUAUAUUGUGGAAAUUAUGAGAUGAUUAUUUUUUGUAUGCAGAAAAAUCCUGAGAAAGGAGCAGAUUUAUUUGUGUAUCUGCACAAUGAUUGUACAUACAAUAUUGAUUAUCGAAACAAUUGCUUAUAUUGUUGUAACAGUUGCAAUCUACCAAAGUAUAUAACUGCUUUAUAUAUGGAUGGUGACAAUAUUAUCAUAAUUAUUGAACAUAAUUACUGUGGAUAAAGAUAUCUUACAUCAUACAUGGUAUUUAAUGAUAUAAGAAAUGAGUGGGUUCAAUCUGGAUACAAAUAUUUGAUGAUGUUUGUGGAAAAUUUCCAGAGGUUGCAGCUUAAUGUCUUUUUAACAACUUAAGAUCAGUAUUACUAGGAAAAUAAGCUGGUGUAACAAGCCAUAAAUUGUGCAAUUGUUGGAUAUUUUGUACAAGCGGUUACAAACGAACCAGUCUCUAGAAAAUAUAAAAAUACAUUAUACAGGUUAGUAAUGGCAGAGGAUGCAAUAAUAUUGUCGACUGAUAUUUUAUUAAAAGGUUUUUAUCCAAAGGAAAGAUUAUUAAUUAUAGAAAAAGAGGCAAAUAUUGUAUAAAACAAUUUUUCUAAUAUUCAAAACCAAUGUUUCAAAACCAAAGUCGAGUUGAAUACCAAACCAUUUGCUAUUAAAGAAAGAAACCUGCUAUGUGCGCAUGAACGAUUUACACACACUCCUCAGUAUGAAGAGAGACUAAGGAAGU